rnacentral:lncRNA from 1 species
AAACAAGCCAUGGGGGACAGAAGACCUAGUGGGAAUGAAGGUGGAGCCCACCGUGUUUAGAUGUGCUAUCUAGAAGGUGGAUGCCAGAUGACCUGUGUCGGUACCGAGCCAUUUCAGUUAUCCACGCCGCACUGCAGACUGUGUUGCACUACAGUAUGUCAGAGCCGAGGCCUUGCAACUGCCUGCAAAGAUAACAUCAACUAUACAUGGUGAAUGGACAAUGCUCCCCAUACUGAGGAAAUGGCAGCCAUCCUGCAGAUGCAGCGGAUGCAUCCUGCACCUUCACCAGGCGCUGAGCUUCUUUGGUUAGACACUUAACCUGGAAAACAAGCAGUAGGACAAGAUGCCAUGGCAGUGAUUGGAACAAAGAAAGAGAGAGAGAGAAGUGUAAAAAGUGUUCCAGUAUUCAUCCAGUCAAGCAGAGCACGAUCAACUGCUAGGGAAGUCGUUAAUCAUACUCAUUUUGAUAGUGCUUCAAAAUCAAAUAAGGAUUGGAUCUCUCUAAAUAGUUGAGACAGAGAUCAUGGAGGAAACUAGUUGAGCUGAAUGGUAAACAUGUUUUUUUUUCUUAAAAUAAAGGAGACACACACACCCCA